rnacentral:rRNA from 1 species
GACGAACGCUGGCGGCGUGCUUAACACAUGCAAGUCGAACGGAAAGGCCCUGCUUUUGUGGGGUGCUCGAGUGGCGAACGGGUGAGUAACACGUGAGUAACCUGCCCUUGACUUUGGGAUAACUUCAGGAAACUGGGGCUAAUACCGGAUAGGAGCUCCUGCUGCAUGGUGGGGGUUGGAAAGUUUCGGCGGUUGGGGAUGGACUCGCGGCUUAUCAGCUUGUUGGUGGGGUAGUGGCUUACCAAGGCUUUGACGGGUAGCCGGCCUGAGAGGGUGACCGGCAACAUUGGGACUGAGCUACGGCCCAGACUCCUACGGGCGGCAGCAGUGGGGAAUAUUGCACAAUGGGCUGAAGCCUGAUGCAGCAACGCCGCGUGCGGGAUGACGACCUUCGGGUUGUAAACCGCUUUCGCCUGUGACGAAGCGUGAGUGACGGUAAUGGGUAAAGAAGCACCGGCUAACUACGUG